GCUCUUGUGGUCGAGUUGGUACAUCGCUGCUCCUGGAUGCGGGAGGUACCUGGUUCGAACCUCGGCGGGUGCA